AGAGUUUGAUCCUGGCUCAGGAUGAACGCUAGCGACAGGCCUAACACAUGCAAGUCGAGGGGCAGCACAGAUAGCAAUAUUGGGUGGCGACCGGCGCACGGGUGAGUAACGCGUAUGUAACCUACCUUAUACACUGGGAUAACCCGUUGAAAAACGGACUAAUACCGGAUAAAACAGGGGCGCCGCAUGGUGCUAUUUGUUAAAGGAUUGUAGCAAUACAUUUGGUAUAAGAUGGACAUGCGUAUGAUUAGCUGGUUGGUGAGGUAACGGCUCACCAAGGCUACGAUCAUUAGGGGUUCUGAGAGGAAGGUCCCCCACACUGGUACUGAGACACGGACCAGACUCCUACGGGAGGCAGCAGUGAGGAAUAUUGGUCAAUGGACGAGAGUCUGAACCAGCCAAGUCGCGUGAAGGAAGAAUGUCCUAUGGAUUGUAAACUUCUUUUGCAGGGGAAUAAAGUGACCCACGCGUGGGUUAUUGCAAGUACUUUGCGAAUAAGGAUCGGCUAACUCCGUGCCAGCAGCCGCGGUAAUACGGAGGAUUCGAGCGUUAUCCGGAUUUAUUGGGUUUAAAGGGUGCGUAGGUGGAUAGAUAAGUCAGCGGUGAAAUUUUUGAGCUUAACUGAAGAAUUGCCGUUGAAACUGUUUAUCUUGAGUGCAAAUGAGGUAUGCGGAAUGUGUUGUGUAGCGGUGAAAUGCAUAGAUAUAACACAGAACACCGAUUGCGAAGGCAGCAUACUGGGAUGCAACUGACACUGAGGCACGAAGGCGUGGGGAUCAAACAGGAUUAGAUACCCUGGUAGUCCACGCAGUAAACGAUGAAUACUAGCUG
rnacentral:rRNA from 1 species